AACUUAAUUAAAAGCUUAUAUUUUGAAAAAAUGAAAAAAAAAGACAACUUUUUUUUCACUUUUUUUGCAAUUUCUCAAAAUCAACCGGUCCGAAUUGGUUCCAACUUACAAAAAAUCUAAGUUUGGCGAAGCCCUAUCGAAUGACACCAACCGCGAUAAAAUCGGUCAAGCCGUUUAAAAGUUACGAGAGGCUUACACACAC